AUGCGCUGGCCAUCUGGCGACCUUGGUGUCUAUAUUCUUCAGUCAACGGUGCAUGUAACGGCCGCAACGGGUGCAGCCAGCCUGAAGGUGGGAGAAGUGGUUCUUAGAUAUUUGCAUCGGCAAAACACCUCAGAAUACCAGUUACAGUUAGUUUUGCGUCGCAAGUGUUGUAACCUACUGGUGUUACGUACGUACUACGAACACCGAUUGAGCUUGGAGAUGGUUGAAGAGAUAAGUAGCAAAUCUGUAAAAACCGCUAAAAUAGUGCCAAAAUUCAAACAAACAGGUGAAACUAACAUCAUGAAGACGGUCGAAGACAAACCCCUUAUCUGGUGGCUGAUUUUUAUAUUAAUAUUGAUUGCAACUGUUACUACUCGAUUUUACAAAGUAACAGAGCCUGAUCAUGUAUGCUGGGAUGAAACUCAUUUUGGUAAAAUGGGCAGUUGGUACAUAAACAGGACUUUCUUCUUUGAUGUGCAUCCACCACUAGGAAAAAUGCUUAUUGGUUUAUCCGGGUAUCUAACUGGCUACAAUGGUUCAUUUCCAUUUGAGAAACCUGGUGACAAGUAUGAAGAUACAAAAUAUAUAGGAAUGAGAGUAUUCUGCACAAUGUUGGGUGCAACUAUCGUCCCAUUAGCAUUCCUUACUGUUUGGGAAUUGACGCAGUCUUUGCCUUCAUCUGUUUAUGCUGCUACUUUUAUUCUAUGUGAUGUUGGUCUGCUUACACUGAAUCAAUACAUUCUUCUGGAUCCAAUUCUAUUGUGUUUUAUGAUGUGUGCAUUAUGGGGAAUGUCCCGUAUCGGCUCAUUGCAGCAUCAACCAUUUACAUUCUCUUGGUGGGGUUGGAUGUCAUUUACUGGCAUGGCGCUUGCAUGUUCCAUAAGUGUUAAAUUUGUUGGUCUCUUUAUUGUCCUGUUGGUUGGACUCUACACGUUGCAUGAAUUGUGGAGAGAAUUAGGCGACCUUUCAAAGCCUGUCAUGAAUGCAGUUAAACAUCUGUUAGCUAGAACCCUUUGUCUCAUAGUGUUACCAGUAAUUGUGUACGUGCUGUUUUUUUACAUCCACCUGGUUGUUUUAAAUAAAAGUGGCAAUGGAGAUGGUUUCUAUAGUUCCGGAUUUCAGUCACAGCUGGAAGGAAAUUCUUUGCACAAUGCAACAAUGCCUCGGCAUUUGGCAUACGGUGCUAUCAUAACACUUAAAAACCAUCGCACCGGAGGAGGUUAUUUGCAUUCACAUUGGCAUUUGUAUCCAGAAGGAAUGGGAGCUCGUCAACAACAGAUAACUACGUAUUCACACAAAGACGACAAUAACCGUUGGUUGGUGAAGAAAUUCGAUACGAAUGUCUUACCACCAGAUAAUGUACUAGUAAAACACGGUGACUUAAUCCGACUAGAGCAUAUAGUGACUCGCCGAAAUUUACACUCACACAAAGAAGUAGCCCCCAUUUCAAAAAAACAUUACCAGGUUACUGGAUAUGGAGAGAAUGGUACUGGAGAUGCAAAUGACGUUUGGAAAGUAUUGAUCGUAAAUGGAAAAGAAGAUGAUAUUGUAGAAACAGUAACAAGCAAGCUGAAAUUCGUUCAUUAUCUUCAUCACUGCGCACUUACGAGUAGUGGAAAAACAUUACCCAAAUGGGCAUAUAGUCAACAGGAAGUUUCUUGCAAUCCGAACAUGCGAGAUAAAAACUCUAUGUGGAAUAUUGAGGAUAACAUUUUUGCCAAAUUGCCAAAUGUCAGUUUCCAAGUAUACGCACCUGGUUUUCUGGAAAGAUUUCUUGAAUCACACGCAGUUAUGUUGCAAGGUAAUUCGGAUUUGAAGCCCAAGGAGGGAGAAGUUACCUCAAGACCAUGGCAAUGGCCUAUCAACUAUAGGACACACGCUACAGAGAAAAAGGGUCAAUUCUUUUCGGGGAGUAAAAAUCGUAUUUAUCUACUCGGAAAUCCGAUUAUAUGGUGGGGAAACAUAGUAUUUUUAAUUUUCUUCUCUCUCGCAUAUCUAUUCGCCUCUGUGCAAGAACAGCGAGGAUAUCUGCAGGAUCCUGAUAUUUUAUAUCGAAGAAGGAGAACACUCGAGGCUGGCAUGUGGAUGUUUACUGGAUGGCUCUUACAUUACGUUCCAUUUUGGGCUAUGGGACGUAUACUCUACUUCCAUCAUUACUUCCCUGCUUUAUUGUUCAGCUGCAUGCUGACCGGAAUAACAUUGAACUACAUUUUGGAAACUAUACCCACGUUCGUUCCUGGCAUGAUUGGGCAUACUAUUUAUCAUUCCACAGUGGGGCUAGUAUUGUCUGGAACAGUAUAUAGGUUCAAUAGAUGGUAGCAGACCAUACCGGUAGCCUUGAAUCGGUCAGCAUCUACCUCGAUUUGUGUAUGUGUGAUGUGCACCAUGCUUAUUCUUACUUGAGCGAGGAUUGAUGUGUUGAAACUGUGUGUAUAGAAAAGCACGCACACACACACAUUGGUAAUGUACUUAUCUUUUACUUGUUUUCUCCAUUGGCUUACGGCAUGGACGGACCAUCAGCCUCCCAUCCUGAAAGUCCAUUAUAUCCACUCCGCUGGAUGGAUUCCUGGGAGUUUUAGUUUAUGCUAUAAGUAUUCACAUAGCAACCAGACUUUCACUCAGUCGAGGUCUCGUAAAGGCUGAUAUUAUACAGUGUUAAGAUCAUUAUAUUUUUUAUGUACGAAUCUUUCUUACUAAAUAUUUUAUCAUUUUUAUAUGUACGUAUAAUAUGUUGAAGAAAUGAAGAAAUGUAAUAUUAUUAAUAUU